GACGAACGCUGGCGGCGUGCCUAAUACAUGCAAGUAGAACGCACAGUUUAUACCGUAGCUUGCUACACCAUAGACUGUGAGUUGCGAACGGGUGAGUAACGCGUAGGUAACCUGCCUGGUAGCGGGGGAUAACUAUUGGAAACGAUAGCUAAUACCGCAUAAUAUUGAUUAUUGCAUGAUAAUUGAUUGAAAGAUGCUAUUGCAUCACUACCAGAUGGACCUGCGUUGUAUUAGCUAGUAGGUGAGGUAACGGCUCACCUAGGCGACGAUACAUAGCCGACCUGAGAGGGGGGUCGGCCACACUGGGACUGAGACACGGCCCAGACUCCUACGGGAGGCAGCAGUAGGGAAUCUUCGGCAAUGGACGAAAGUCUGACCGAGCAACGCCGCGUGAGUGAAGAAGGUUUUCGGAUCGUAAAGCUCUGUUGUAAGAGAAGGACGGUUGUGAGAGUGGAAAGUUCACACUGUGACGGUAUCUUACCAGAAAGGGACGGCUAACUACGUG
rnacentral:rRNA from 1 species